rnacentral:rRNA from 1 species
GACGAACGCUGGCGGCGCGCCUAACACAUGCAAGUCGAACGAGCGAGAGAGAGCUUGCUUUCUCGAGCGAGUGGCGAACGGGUGAGUAACGCGUGAGGAACCUGCCUCAAAGAGGGGGACAACAGUUGGAAACGACUGCUAAUACCGCAUAAGCCCACGGCUCGGCAUCGAGCAGGGGGAAAAGGAGCAAUCCGCUUUGAGAUGGCCUCGCGUCCGAUUAGCUAGUUGGUGGGGUAACGGCCCACCAAGGCGACGAUCGGUAGCCGGACUGAGAGGUUGAACGGCCACAUUGGGACUGAGACACGGCCCAGACUCCUACGGGAGGCAGCAGUGGGGAAAAUUGCACAAUGGGGGAAACCCUGAUGCAGCGACGCCGCGUGGAGGAAGAAGGUCUUCGGAUUGUAAACUCCUGUUGUUGGGGAAGAUAAUGACGGUACCCAACAAGGAAGUGACGGCUAACUACGUG